GGUCCGGAAAUGCGCGCAACAUCCACUACUUCGUUCUCUGAUAAGCUAAUUAGUUUAUUCUAACCAUUAGUUUAUCCUAAGUGUCAUCUUUAUAUAGAGAGUGUGUUAUGAAAACCAAUUAGGCGUCGAUGGAUUAGACUCACUACACGCUGCCAAAAACGGGUUGGUAUAGAUGCGUUCCAUUCUGUCCAAUAUAAUUUCUACAUUCAGCCUACUCAAAUUUGAAGUUAUAGACAUCUCGGUUGUUUUCGGUUUUUUUUUCACUUUUUAGCGAAUUAAAAACUGAAUAAGAACAGUAAGGUUGUUUUUGCGAUCGUUUUUGCUUUUCACUUUUUUUACUAGCAUAUCCUGUUCUUAGCCGCACGAGAUCUCCUAUUUUAGGAAGCAUAACAACGUACCAUAGUUGACCACACCAUGCUGCAGUAUGUAGCGGGCCUUGUUU
rnacentral:lncRNA from 1 species